AUUGAACGCUGGCUGCAGGCCUAACACAUGCAAGUCGAACGAGUGGCGGACGGGUGAGUAAUGUAUGGGAAACUGCCUGAUGGAGGGGGAUAACUAAUGGAAACGGUAGCUAAUACCGCAUACCAAAGGAUGUGCCCAGAUGGGAGGAGCUAGUAGGUGGGGUAACGGAUCACCUAGGCGACGAUCCCUAGCUGGUCUGAGAGGAGGACCAGCCACACUGGAAAUGAGAAACGGUCCAGACUCCUACGGUAGGCAGCAGGGGGUAAUAUUGCACAAUGGGCGCAAGCCUGAUGAAGCCAUGCCGCGUGUAUGAAGAAGGCCUUCGGGUUGUAAAGUACUUUCAGCGGGGAGGCGUUACCCGCAGAAGAAGCACCGGCUAACUCCGUGCCAGCAGCCGCGGUAAUAC
rnacentral:rRNA from 1 species